GGCAGGAUGGAGUGAUCCCCUGGGCUGAAGUCACGGAGCAUCACAACAGCCACUGCCCCUGGCAGCAAGGGUUCAACAACCAACCAAAAAUCAAAAGUGUGCAAAUCGAGAGGGAACCAUGGGGCUGUGGGGCCGGGGCGCAGGCAGGUCCAUGCUAGUGCCCCUUGAGCUGAGCAAUCUGUCUGAGCAACUGCAUCUGCCGCAGCCGCAGCUGCCGCUUCUCAGCUGCCAUUCUCCGCUCAGCGCUGAUAAGCGACUGCAGGUACUCGGAGGAUUUGCUCAGGAUCACCACUUUGGGUGUCUUGGGGCAGCUGGCCAGCCCGGGCACCUGGUCCCGCAGCGCCAGGAAGCGUGAGCGCAGGUCAUUGCGCCGCUUGCGCUCCAGGUAGUUGUGGUUUUUCCUCUUGGCCACGUCUUCGCUGUCAGAGCCGGGGCCAGCUUUUGGCAAACCGGGGUCAGGCAGCGCAUGGGAGGGGGGUGGUUCUGCAGCGCUGAGCAGCUCUUCCUCGUCCUGCUGCGGGGACUUGGGCUGGGGACAGGCAUCCGGCGGUGAGCGAGCGGCGUAGUUGUGCUGCUGCUGGUGGAUGGAGAUGUGGAAGUGCUUCAUGCAGGGGUCCAGGGGGUCGGCACGCAGCGUGAUGGUGACUGGCUUCCGCAGGCUGAGCGAUUGUCUCUUCUCCACCGUGACCACAUCAAUCUCUUCACCCUCAGAAUCGCUUUGCCCCUCCGACCCCGAGGACGGGGGCACUUUGCUCUCGGCCAGGGGGCACAGGAACACGGCGGCGGGGUCCACGCACUCGCUCACGGAGCUGCCGAAGCCCAGAUCGGGGGCUGAGGACGGUUUGUGCGGCGCUGCCCGCGGAGUUCCCGUGGAAAGUUUCUCCGUCAUCGCCUUCUCCAGCCGUUCCCGGGCCGAGAAGCCGCUCCACAUGCAGUCCCGCAGAAUGAAGGCGCUCAGGUUGCCGAAGAGCUGCCCGGUGCCGAUAAGGUACUCGGGUUCGUCGGGCAGACAGCAGCGCGGGGGGCAGCCCCGCUCCUCUGCCGCCGAGCAGCCCGGCCGCUCCCCGAGGGGCGAGAGAGGUGGCGUGGGGACGAACUCGAACUUCUUCCAGAUGUCCUCGCUGGGAGCCGUGGAGCGGUGAAAAUCCUCCCCCGCAUCGUAGUCGUACAAGUAGUGCUGGUACGCGUCCCGCUCCAUGGCUG
rnacentral:lncRNA from 1 species